UACGUAGGGUGCGAGCGUUGUCCGGAAUUACUGGGCGUAAAGAGCUCGUAGGCGGCUUGUCGCGUUGUUCGUGAAAAUUUACCGCUCAACGGUGAACUUGCGGGCGAUACGGGCAGGCUAGAGUACUGCAGGGGAGACUGGAAUUCCUGGUGUAGCGGUGGAAUGCGCAGAGUAUCAGGAGGAACACCGGUGGCGAAGGCGGGUCUCUGGGCAGUAACUGACGCUGAGGAGCGAAAGCGUGGGGAGCGAACAGG
rnacentral:rRNA from 1 species